rnacentral:misc_RNA from 1 species
UUUCCGUAGGUGAACCUGCGGAUGGAUCAUUCAUAAUAAGUGUUUUAUGGCACUUUUUUAAAUCCAUAUCCACCUUGUGUGCAAUGUCAGGGUUGAUUUUUCUUUCGAGAGGAUCAGCCCCAAACAUCAACUAUAUCUCAACUCUUUGUCUGAAAAAUAUUAUGAAUAAAACAAUUCAAAAUACAACUUUCAACAACGGAUCUCUUGGCUCUC